rnacentral:rRNA from 1 species
UUCAACAUGGAACGAGUGGCGGACGGGUGAGUAACACGUGGGUAACCUGCCCUUAAGUGGGGGAUAACAUUUGGAAACAGAUGCUAAUACCGCAUAGAUCCAAGAACCGCAUGGUUCUUGGCUGAAAGAUGGCGUAAGCUAUCGCUUUUGGAUGGACCCGCGGCGUAUUAGCUAGUUGGUGAGGUAAUGGCUCACCAAGGCGAUGAUACGUAGCCGAACUGAGAGGUUGAUCGGCCACAUUGGGACUGAGACACGGCCCAAACUCCUACGGGAGGCAGCAGUAGGGAAUCUUCCACAAUGGACGCAAGUCUGAUGGAGCAACGCCGCGUGAGUGAAGAAGGCUUUCGGGUCGUAAAACUCUGUUGUUGGAGAAGAAUGGUCGGCAGAGUAACUGUUGUCGGCGUGACGGUAUCCAACCAGAAAGCCACGGCUAACUACGUGCCAGCAGCCGCGGUAAUACGUAGGUGGCAAGCGUUAUCCGGAUUUAUUGGGCGUAAAGCGAGCGCAGGCGGUUUUUUAAGUCUGAUGUGAAAGCCCUCGGCUUAACCGAGGAAGCGCAUCGGAAACUGGGAAACUUGAGUGCAGAAGAGGACAGUGGAACUCCAUGUGUAGCGGUGAAAUGCGUAGAUAUAUGGAAGAACACCAGUGGCGAAGGCGGCUGUCUGGUCUGUAACUGACGCUGAGGCUCGAAAGCAUGGGUAGCGAACAGGAUUAGAUACCCUGGUAGUCCAUGCCGUAAACGAUGAAUGCUAGGUGUUGGAGGGUUUCCGCCCUUCAGUGCCGCAGCUAACGCAUUAAGCAUUCCGCCUGGGGAGUACGACCGCAAGGUUGA